rnacentral:lncRNA from 1 species
AUGAAUCCCAUCUUUGAUACUUCCUUCUUGUGUGACCUCAGCUACCUAUCAGAAUCUUUCUCCCUUCUCUAUCUCACCUGGAAGAAUGAUAAUCCAAACAACAAUCUAAUGGAAGAAUGGACUGGAUAGACUUCUAGAUGUUUGCUGGGGAGGUGAAACAAUUUACUGUUCUAUUGCUAUAAAAAUAAACAAACAA